AACGCAGCUUUAAUCUUUCCAGAAACUAUGCGAAUUCAGCAAAGUAGAAAUCAGCGCUGGGAGUUGGGAGGGGGGCAAAUUCCACCUUCAACGCACGUCUAACCUGACCUUCCCUUCCAUACAGUCUCUACGCACACAGAGGGAAGGAAUGCAACUUUCGGGGCCAAAUCCUGUUCCUGUAGAUGUGGCGUGCCUGAAGCUUCUCCCCAUGGAAUCCAGAAGAAUUCUGCCAUGACAAGCUGUUUCCAAGCUGGGAAACCAGUGCAAAGGUUGUACAAGCCUACAGUUCAUUGCCCCAACUGCUACGGAGAUUCCUGACAUCAGAGCCAGGUGCUUCCGCCAAUCCCCUGCCCCCAGCUUUGCUCUGAUGGACCGUCCCAGCCAGUAAUUAUUAAGAUAAGAGUUUGGCAAGAGGUUUCUGCAUCUGGGAGGAGGAGACAAACUGAAGAAGAGAGAGAAGGAGAGAAAAAUUCAGACUGGCCUGGAAUAAAUAGAGAAGCUGUCACGCUCUUAAAAGGUCUGGUCAUUGGGUCAAAUUCUGCUAUGAACAUCCGGUAUGGACACCCUUUAAUUUCUAAACACACACAAACACACACGCACAUUGGCCAUCACAGACACUUUUCUCCAUGCCCGGCAGGGGCAAUAUGGCUCUCCAUUAAACACCACUCAG